CUAGCUGUAAACGAUGGAUACUAGGCGUUGAGAGUAUCGACCCUCUCAGUGUUGUAGCUAACGCGUUAAGUAUCCCGCCUGGGGAGUACGCGCGCAAGCGUGAAACUCAAAGGAAUUGACGGGGGCCCGCACAAGCGGUGGAGUAUGUGGUUUAAUUCGAUGCAACGCGAAGAACCUUACCAGGGCUUGACAUGUCCGGAACCCUGCCCAAAGGCGGGGGUGCCUACGGGAACCGGAACACAGGUGGUGC
rnacentral:rRNA from 1 species